UUCCUGGUGGUCCAGUGCUUAAAACUCAGUGCUUUCACUGCUGUGGGCCCAGGAUCAGUCCCCCUGGUCAGAAAA